rnacentral:rRNA from 1 species
AACGUAGGUCACAAGCGUUGUCCGGAAUUACUGGGUGUAAAGGGAGCGCAGGCGGGAAGACAAGUUGGAAGUGAAAUCCAUGGGCUCAACCCAUGAACUGCUUUCGAAACUGUUUUUCUUGAGUAGUGCAGAGGUAGGCGGAAUUCCCGGUGUAGCGGUGGAAUGCGUAGAUAUCGGGAGGAACACCAGUGGCGAAGGCGGCCUACUGGGCACCAACUGACGCUGAGGCUCGAAAGUGUGGGUAGCAAACAGG